CCAACCAAACUGACUUCACAUGACACGACACGAAAAUCCAACUAAAUUGAAAAAUAACUCACCAUCAAAACAUUUGUAGAACUCAGAAGCACUUCCUGUGGACAAUGGAUGGACCAGACUCAUCGUACUCACCCUUGGAAAUCCACAUCUAAUCCAUUGCAAGAAAAGAAAAAAAAGCAUAUCAGUCUCAAGCAAAAACUAUACAUAGCAUAGGAAUAAUAAAAAAUGAAGGAAAGGAAAUCAUAAACAAAUAAGAGACACGACAAUGAUAAUCACCUGCUGGAAGGUACUGAGGGAUGCAAGGAUGGACCCUCCAAUCCAGACACUGUACUUUCUCUCUGGUGGAGCCACAACCUUAAUCUUCAUGCUGCUUGGAGCAAGAGCAGUAAUCUCCUUGCUCAUCCUGUCUGCAAUACCGGGGAACAUAGUUGACCCACCACUGAGCACAAUGUUUCCAUAUAGGUCUUUCCUAAUAUCCACAUCACACUUCAUGAUAGAGUUGUAGGUAGUCUCAUGAAUUCCAGCAGCUUCCAUUCCAAUGAGUGAUGGUUGGAAGAGAACUUCUGGGCACCGGAAUCUCUCAGCUCCAAUUGUGAUUACUUGGCCAUCGGGAAGCUCAUAGUUCUUCUCUACUGAAGAGCUGCUCUUAGCAGUCUCAAGUUCUUGCUCAUA
rnacentral:lncRNA from 1 species